rnacentral:rRNA from 1 species
AUUGAACGCUGGCGGCAUGCCUUACACAUGCAAGUCGAACGGUAACAGGUUAAGCUGACGAGUGGCGAACGGGUGAGUAAUGUAUCGGAACGUGCCCAGGCGUGGGGGAUAACUGCUCGAAAGAGCAGCUAAUACCGCAUACGACAUGAGGGCGAAAGCGGGGGAUCGCCAGACCUCGCGCGAUUGGAGCGGCCGAUAUCAGAUUAGGUAGUUGGUGGGGUAAAGUCCUACCAAGCCUACGAUCUGUAGCUGGUCUGAGAGGACGACCAGCCACAAUGGGACUGAGAGCCGGCCCAGACUCCUACGGGAGGCAGCAGUGGGGAAUUUUGGACAAUGGACGCAAGUCUGAUCCAGCCGUGCCGCGUGCGGGAAGAAGGCCUUCGGGUUGUAAACCGCUUUUGUCAGGGAAGAAAAGGUUCUGGCUAAUACCUGGGACUCAUGACGGUACCUGAAGAAUAAGCACCGGCUAACUACGUGCCAGCCGCCGCGGUAACAC